AGCAGCCGCGGUAAUUCCAGCUCCAAUAGCGUAUAUUAAAGUUGUUGCAGUUAAAAAGCUCGUAGUUGAAUUUCGGGGUUAGCAGGUCGGUCGUGCCAUCGGUAUGAACUGGUCUCGCUGAUCCCUCCCUCUUGACGAACUGUGAUGCCAUUAAUUUGGUGUCGCAGGGAAUCAGGACUGUUACUUUGAAAAAUUAGAGUGUUUAAAGCAGGCUCACGCUUGAAUACAUUAGCAUGGAAUAAUGAAAUAGGACGUUUGAUCCUAUUUUGUUGGCUUCUAGGAUUGACGUAAUGAUUAAUAGGGAUAGUUGGGGGCAUUAGUAUUCAAUUGUCAGAGGUGAAAUUCUUGGAUUUAUUGAAGACUAACUACUGCGAAAGCAUUUGCCAAGGAUGUUUUCAUUAAUCAAGAACGAAAGUUAGGGGAUCGAAGACGAUCAGAUACCGUCGUAGUCUUAACCAUAAACUAUG
rnacentral:misc_RNA from 1 species